AAAAAUAAAAUCUUAAGACAACUCUCUAGGGUCCUCUUCCUCUUCAAGAGCUUUGUACUAUUGCUCAAUAAAUUUUGCUUUGCUGCCCACCA